rnacentral:rRNA from 1 species
AAGUGGCUAGUCUAACCGCAAGGAGGACGGUCACCACGGCAGGAGUUCAUGACUGGGGUG